UACCGAGGUCUCAAGCGUUGUUCGGAUUCAUUGGGCGUAAAGGGUGCGUAGGCGGCGCGGUAAGUCGGGUGUGAAAUCUCGGAGCUUAACUCCGAAACUGCAUUCGAUACUGCCGUGCUUGAGGACUGGAGAGGAGACUGGAAUUUACGGUGUAGCGGUGAAAUGCGUAGAUAUCGUAAGGAAGACCAGUGGCGAAGGCGGGUCUCUGGACAGUUCCUGACACUGAGGCACGAAGGCCAGGGGAGCAAACGGG
rnacentral:rRNA from 1 species